AGAGCGUGGUGGACUGUACCAUUCCUCCCAGUCUGUGUCUGGGUGUGAGCAGAGGGAGCAGAUCUGAGGCUCUGAGAAACCAGAUGAGGAUGGGGAUCUUAUAGCCCCCAGGAGUCUCUUGAUGAUUGCUCAACAGGGAAAGUUGCUGCACGUCACACCUCGGCCAUAACAGAGACGGGAAGCUGCUUUCCUUCGCUAGAGAGAGUUUUCCUUUUUAUUCCCUCCCUCCUGGAGCCUCAGCUAGGAGAAGCCAAACUUGUGGAAAUCAAGUCAAGAUGUGCUUAAUAGCUCAAAGAGUGGAUGCAGAGUCAGAGAACAGAACGAUGUUGCAAUCAUGUGUUUCAGGGUGUCAGACUGAAAGACCCAACCACACCCGUCAGGAUCUCUGACUUGAUCAAAUGCAGGCACUGGUUUAAUUAGCACUGUCUACAGCAUUCUUUCCACCAGUGGUCAGAUAAGCCAUGGGAAAUAUUUACUUUGUCACAACGGAAGUCAAGGCAGCUACUGGGGCAGAGGAGAAGGCAGGGAGGCGCAGCAUGGAAGACGAAUGAGAAGCAGGACACAGUGAAACUGAAGGGAGGGAACGGGAAGAUGAGAUGGCAAAGAGAAGCAAAAGUGGAGUCUCCCUUCACUGGGUUUUCAUUAAAGCCUCUGCUGAAAGCUGAUGAGGGAUGCAUUCACAGCUCCGAGACUGAUUGCAUCACACCUCCUUUGAUCAACAGUACCGACUCCCUCAGGCUGUGUCAACAUUUUGAAAGGCAGUGUCACUACAUGCAGUCAACACGCAAUCAAUUAAAGCAGCUUGUAAGGCACGCAGCAAUCUCCUGAAGAACACAUGGAUUUGGAGAUGGGAAGACGCUGCAAAGGCUGCAGAUAAGGAGAGCAACGGAGCAGAGAGCAUCGACCCUGCAACACCACCGACUUACAACACAAGCCUCAUUCAGCAUCAAUCUCCCUGCUAAUUAUGUUGGAUUAAAAUAAAAACGUGCAUUUCUUUAUUUCAUGCCAUUUCCCCGGCAGUCAUUACAGAAAACACAAUUACUGUUAAAGACUCGACUAAACCUAAAAGUUUUAGGGCUAAUUUAUCAGACGUCUGCAACAGUUCACUGUUCAUUUUGGGUUCAUGGAAAAUAAUCAUUUUAUUCUGAUUUUUUAGCUCAGAGUCACAAACUUUGAUGAUUUCUCUGGGAUCCUGAGAC